ACGCUGGCGGCAGGCCUAACACAUGCAAGUCGAGCGGUAACAGGAAGUAGCUUGCUACUUCGCUGACGAGCGGCGGACGGGUGAGUAAUGCCUGGGAAUAUGCCUUGAUGUGGGGGAUAACUAUUGGAAACGAUAGCUAAUACCGCAUAAUGCCUACGGGCCAAAGAGGGGGAUCUUCGGACCUCUCGCGUCAAGAUUAGCCCAGGUGGGAUUAGCUAGUUGGUGGGGUAAAGGCUCACCAAGGCGACGAUCCCUAGCUGGUCUGAGAGGAUGAUCAGCCACACUGGAACUGAGACACGGUCCAGACUCCUACGGGAGGCAGCAGUGGGGAAUAUUGCACAAUGGGGGAAACCCUGAUGCAGCCAUGCCGCGUGUAUGAAGAAGGCCUUCGGGUUGUAAAGUACUUUCAGCAGUGAGGAAGGUGGURRUGUUAAUAGCRYUAUCAUUUGACGUUAGCUGCAGAAGAAGCACCGGCUAACUCCGUGCCAGCAGCCGCGGUAAUACGGAGGGUGCGAGCGUUAAUCGGAAUUACUGGGCGUAAAGCGCAUGCAGGCGGUCUGUUAAGCAAGAUGUGAAAGCCCGGGGCUCAACCUCGGAACAGCAUUUUGAACUGGCAGACUAGAGUCUUGUAGAGGGGGGUAGAAUUUCAGGUGUAGCGGUGAAAUGCGUAGAGAUCUGAAGGAAUACCGGUGGCGAAGGCGGCCCCCUGGACA
rnacentral:rRNA from 2 species